rnacentral:ncRNA from 2 species
GGUCGUCUUCACGGGCAGGGUGUAAUUCCCGACCGGUGGUUAUAGUCCACGAGCUUAAGUGAUUUUUCAUUUUUGCCGAACUGGUGUAAUUCCAGUACCGACAGUUAGAGUCUGGAGUAAAGAAGAUAGGG